rnacentral:rRNA from 1 species
UACGAAGGGGGCUAGCGUUGUUCGGAAUCACUGGGCGUAAAGGGCGCGUAGGCGGCUUUGUAAGUCGGGGGUGAAAUCUUGCGGCUUAACCGCAAGGCUGCCUUCUAAACUGUCGGGCUAGAGCACAGUAGAGGCAGGUGGAAUUCCCGGUGUAGCGGUGGAAUGCGUAGAGAUCGGGAAGAACAUCAGUGGCGAAGGCGCUCUACUGGACCACAACUGACACUCAGGGACGAAAGCUAGGGGAGCGAAUGGG